CAAUAAUGUCAAAUUUUAUUUAAUUUUAGAUAAAUGCGGAAUAAAUGGAAAUGGAUUGACAUAAUUCAAAGGAUUAAAAAUCAAGAAAGUUUUGCCUAUAAUAGUUAAGUUUUUUUAAUAAUAAACGAUAUGUAGAUGUUCAGCUGAUAUAGAAUUAGAAAAUUUAUAGUUCUAUUAUAGAUAUAUUCAGUUAAAAUAUCACAUAAAAGUGUUGUCAUUAGCUGUUCAAAUAUAUAUGAUGUAUGGUAUUGAGAUGUUACUUUGUAUGAAUAAAGAGGAGCUACUUGAUAAAAAAGAGAAACAAAUCAAUGAAGAUUUAGUCGAAGUAGAAGAAAAAUAUUUUGAUGAAGACUUAAUCGAGACAAAAAUAAAGUUAUGAUAGUUUGUGAUGUCGGAUUUUAUUAAUAGUUCUAUUAAAGUAAUAUUCAGUCAAAACAUUACAAAAUAAUGUAGGUACAAUAGUUUCUAAAAUGAAGCAAAAAUAUUAUCGAUACUAAAUGUAUUAUGGUAAAAGAAGAUAAUUGUUAAUUUAUGCAUGGAUGGAUAGCUGAAAGGUGGAUUAGUUGUUUAUUUAACGGGAUCGAUUAAUUUAAAUUGAGAAGACGAUGGAUUUUUACGGAUAUAGAUAUAAUUAGUUAUAACAUGGAAGAAGAAUUAUGUAUGUUAUUAGCAGGUUUUCAAUCAAUUUGUUUACUUUUAAAUAAAUUAAUAAUAUUGGAUGCUUGAUAUAGAGAAAACUGUAAAAACAUUGUAAAUUUUUAAAAUAUGACAAUAGAAGAACAUUUAUAUCGGAAGAGAAAUUGGAAAUUAUUUUUAUUAAAAUAUAUGGAAAAUGGACGUUUUAAAAUGAAUUUUGGAUUAAAAGAAGAAAUUAAUGUUAUUUAAUAGAAAAAAUAUGUAAAUACUUACCGUGUUUAUUGAAUAAAUUUUAGUGAUAAAUUUAGGGAAGAAGUAAUAAGGGGAGGAAAAUAUUGAAUAAAAAUUAAAUCAUAUUUUAAUAUUAUAUGGAUACAUAAUGAUUGUAGUAUACUAUAAUAAUUGAAAAAAAAUGGCUUAACAUUAAAAUGACUUUUAAAGGAAAAAAAGGAUAGCAAUUACUAUAAUUAUAUGUAGAUCAAGGAGAUAUAGAAGAAUCAAGAAGAUAUAGAAAUUUUAAAAUAACAAGAGAAGCAAAUAUAUAGUAAUGGAGAUAUGAGAAAAUAUUAUAUUUAUAAAUGUAUUAGAAUGGAGCAUAAUAUAAUAAUUGGAUUAUAAUAAAUAUGAAAUAAUAAAGUGAUACUAUGAAACAGUUAUAUUUUUAACUAUGUAAAAAUGGAUUUAUUUCGAAUAUAAGGAUACUUUUUUGUGGUAAGAAAAAACAAUGAUGUAAAAUUUGUGGAAUAUUUUAUUUUAAUAGAAUAAUUAUAAUGAUUACAUUUAUUAUAUAUUAUAUGUUAAAAGGAAAUGUAAUAA
rnacentral:lncRNA from 1 species